rnacentral:rRNA from 1 species
UAGCUAGUUGGUGGGGUAAAGGCCUACCAAGGCGACGAUCGGUAGCUGUUCUGAGAGGAAGAUCAGCCACACUGGGACUGAGACACGGCCCAGACUCCUACGGGAGGCAGCAGUGGGGAAUAUUGGACAAUGGGGGGAACCCUGAUCCAGCGAUGCCGCGUGUGUGAAGAAGGCCUGAGGGUUGUAAAGCACUAUCAGCGGGGAGGAGGAUUGAUUGGUUAAGAGCUGAUUGAUUGGACGUUACCCGCAGAAGAAGCACCGGCUAACUCCGUGCCAGCAGCCGCGGUAAUACGGAGGGUGCGAGCGUUAAUCGGAAUUACUGGGCGUAAAGGGUGCGUAGGUGGUUUAAUAAGUUAAGUGUGAAAGACCCGGGCUUAACCUGGAUAGUCAUUUAAGACUGUUAGACUAGAGUAUGGGAGAGGGUAGUGGAAUUUCCGGUGUAGCGGUGAAAUGCGUAGAGAUCGGAAGGAACACCAGUGGCGAAGGCGGCUACCUGGCCUAAUACUGACACUGAGGCACGAAAGCAUGGGGAGCAAACAGGAUUAGAUACCCUGGUAGUCCAUGCUGUAAACGAUGUCAACUAGUUGUUGGGCGCAUGAAUGCGUUUAGUAGCGA